AACGGAGGGUGCAAGCGUUGUUCGGAAUUACUGGGCGUAAAGCGCGUGCAGGUGGUUUUCUAAGUUUCGUGUGAAAGCCCACGGCUCAACCGUGGAACGGCACGGAAAACUGGAAGACUUGAAUACGGGAGAAGAGGGCGGAAUUCCCAGUGUAGAGGUGAAAUUCGUAGAUAUUGGGAGGAACACCGGUGGCGAAAGCGGCUCUCUAGACCGAUAUUGACGCUCAUACGCGAGAGCGUGGGUAGCAAACAGG
rnacentral:rRNA from 1 species